UGCCAGGCAGCCGCGGUAAUACGGAGGAUGCAAGCGUUAUCCUGGAAUUACUGGGCGUACAAGCAGUGCGCAAGCGUGUCUUGCAAGACAGAUGUGAUAAUCCCCGGGCUUAACCUGGGAACUGCACUUGUGACUGCAAGGCUGGAGUACGGCAGAGGGGGAUGGAAUUCCGCGUGUAGCAGUGAAAUGCGUAGAUAUGCGGAGGUACACCGAUGGCGAAGGCAAUCCCCUGGGCCUGUACUGACGCUCAUGCACGAAAGCGUGGGGAGCAAACAGGAUUAGAUACCUCUGGUAGUCCACGCCCUAAACGAUGUCAACUGGUUGUUGGACGGCUUGCUGUUCAGUAACGAAGCUAACGCGUGAAGUUGACCGCCUGGGGAGUACGGCCGCAAGGUUGAAACUCAAAGGAAUUGACGGGGACCCGCACAAGCGGUGGAUGAUGUGGUUUAAUUCGAUGCAACGCGAAAAACCUUACCUACCCUUGACAUGUCUGGAAUCCUGAAGAGAUUUGGGAGUGCUCGAAAGAGAGCCAGAACACAGGUGCUGCAUGGCCGUCGUCAGCUCGUGUCGUGAGAUGUUGGGUUAAGUCCCGCAACGAGCGCAACCCUUGUCAUUAGUUGCUACGAAAGGGCACUCUAAUGAGACUGCCGGUGACAAACCGGAGGAAGGUGGGGAUGACGUCAGGUCCUCAUGGCCCUUAUGGGUAGGGCUACACACGUCAUACAAUGGCCGGUACAGAGGGCUGCCAACCCGCGAGGGGGAGCCAAUCCCAGAAAACCGGUCGUAGUCCGGAUCGCAGUCUGCAACUCGACUGCGUGAAGUCGGAAUCGCUAGUAAUCGCGGAUCAGCUUGCCGCGGUGAAUACGUUCCCGGGUCUUGUACACACCGCCCGUCACACCAUGGGAGCGGGUUCUGCCAGAAGUAGUUAGCCUAACCGCAAGGAGGGCGAUUACCACGGCAGGGUUCGUGACUGGGGUG
rnacentral:rRNA from 1 species